AAAAAAAAAAAAAAAAAGUAAGAUAAGGAUAAAAAAAGUAAGAUAAGGAUAAAUUAUACAGGCAUCACAUCUAUGUUGACAGCCACGACAGUUUUCUGCCCCUGGCCCUCUCCCUUGUUAAUUGCUCCAUUUCUUUUCUAUCUUAUGCAACAACAGCUUACUUGCCAAUCUGGUUCUCAAUAGAUGUAGCUGAGGCCUUCCUUUUGUGGAUUUGCCUUUUCAAUUGAUUAUCUUUAUUCUAUAACAUGUUAUAACCUGUAAGAAUAUAAUAACUGAAGUUGGAAUUAUUAAUGUAUAUGAUUGUGGAAAUUUGAAAUAAAUGGGCGUUUUAUUUGAGAAAAAUUCUUCAUCGUAACUUCUUUAGUUAAUUGGAAAUAUGGGGAACUACAAAUGAUAUGAAACUAGUAGUAUUUCCACUAGGAGAGAAGUGAGAAGGCAUGUGAAAGUGAAAGUGCUAAUAGUAAUGAGUAUAUUGUAUUUUUGGGUAAAUAAAGUUGUAGUUUUGUUAAGUGAUGGUUUUUCCAGUGGAUUAUUGAUUGCAACACCUCUGUCAUUCUAUGAAGCUCAAUAUGAUUGAGCUCACUUGUUCAGUAUUCAAUCUUGUAUUCCCUGAGUGAUCUUGAAACUGAAAAUGAAGUGAGGCUUUUUAAUCCGUGUUAUUUAUUUGUUUUGAGUCUUUUGACAGCUG
rnacentral:misc_RNA from 1 species